CACGCCGCGUGAGGGACGAAGGCCUCUGGGCUGUAAACCUCUUUUCUCAAGGAAGAAGAUAUGACGGUACUUGAGGAAUAAGCCACGGCUAAUUCCGUGCCAGCAGCCGCGGUAAUACGGGAGUGGCAAGCGUUAUCCGGAAUUAUUGGGCGUAAAGCGUCCGCAGGCGGCUUUUCAAGUCUGCUGUUAAAGCGUGGAGCUUAACUCCAUCAUGGCAGUGGAAACUGAAAGGCUUGAGUAUGGUAGGGGCAGAGGGAAUUCCCGGUGUAGCGGUGAAAUGCGUAGAUAUCGGGAAGAACACCAGUGGCGAAGGCGCUCUGCUGGGCCAUUACUGACGCUCAUGGACGAAAGCCAGGGGAGCGAAAGGGAUUAGAUACCCCUGUAGUCCUGGCCGUAAACGAUGAACACUAGGUGUCGGGGGAAUCGACCCCUUCGGUGUCGUAGCUAACGCGUUAAGUGUUCCGCCUGGGGAGUACGCACG
rnacentral:rRNA from 1 species